rnacentral:rRNA from 1 species
GAUUUCUGGCAUGGUGUGCCUGGUCCGCCCCUUUAUCGGUGGUGAGUACCGGAGCGCGCCUGCCAUCCUUCCGGAGAGUGGGUCUACCCUUCACUGGGCCGGACUCACAAUCUGGAUCGUUUACUUUGAAAAAAUUAGAGUGUUUAAAGCAGGCGUUAUUGCCUCUGAAUACAUUAGCAUGGAAUAAUAAGAUAGGGCUUUGGUCCUAUUUUGUUGGUUUCUAGGACUGAAGUAAUGAUUGAUAGGGAUAGUUGGGGGUGCUAGUAUUCAACGGCCAGAGGUGAAAUUCUUGGAUUCGUUGAAGACUAACUAAUGCGAAAGCAUU